rnacentral:rRNA from 1 species
GAGUUUGAUCGUGGCUCAGAGCGAACGCUGGCGGCAGGCCUAACACAUGCAAGUCGAACGCACCUUCGGGUGAGUGGCGCACGGGUGAGGAACACGUAGCUGAUCGACCCUCCAGUGCGGGAUAACCUGCUGAAAGGCGGGCUAAUACCGCAUAAGCUCACGAGCUCUAGAGGCUUGUGAGAAAAGGCUGGUACGCUGGAGGCCGAGGCUGCGACCCAUCAGCUGGAUGGUGAGGUAACGGCUCACCAUGGCAACGACGGGUCGGGGACCUGAGAGGGUGACCCCCCACACUGGGACGUGAGACACGGCCCACGACUCCUACGGGAGGGCAGCAGUGAGGAAUAUUGCACAAUGGGGGCGAACCCUGAUGCAGCGACGCCGCGUGAGUGAUGAAGGCCUUCGGUCGGUAAGACUCUUUCUUGCGUGACGAGCAAGGACGGUAGCGCA